rnacentral:rRNA from 1 species
GAAUUUUGGUCAAUGGGGGCAACCCUGAUCCAGCCACGCCGCGUGCGGGAAGAAGGCCUUCGGGUUGAAAACCGCUUUUGGCAGGAACGAAACGGUGCUCGCUAAUACCGAGCGCUAAUGACGGUACCUGCCGAAUAAGCACCGGCUAACUCCGUGCCAGCAGCCGCGGUAAUACGUAGGGUGCAAGCGUUAAUCGGAAUUACUGGGCGUAAAGCGUACGCAGGCGGCUGUGCAAGACAGGUGUGAAAUCCCCGGGCUUAACCUGGGAACUGCAUUUGUGACUGCAUAGCUAGAGUACGUAAGAGGGGGGUGGAAUUCCACGUGUAGCAGUGAAAUGCGUAGAGAUGUGGAGGAACACCGAUGGCGAAGGCAGCCCCCUGGGAUGAGACUGACGCUCAUAUACGAAAGCGUGGGGAGCAAACAGG